rnacentral:rRNA from 1 species
GAUGAACGCUGGCGGCGUGCCUAAUACAUGCAAGUCGAGCGAACGGACGAGAAGCUUGCUUCUCUGAUGUUAGCGGCGGACGGGUGAGUAACACGUGGAGAACCUACCUAUAAGACUGGGAUAACUUCGGGAAACCGGAGCUAAUACCGGAUAAUAUUUUGAACCACAUGGUUCAAAAGUGAAAGACGGUCUUGCUGUCACUUAUGGAUGGAUCCGGGCUGCUUUAGCUAUUUGGUAAGGUAACGGCCUACAAAGGCAACGAUGCAUAGCCGACCUGAGAGGGGGAUCGGCCACACGGGAACUGAGACACGGUCCAGACUCCUACGGGAGGCAGGAGGAGGGAAUCUUCCGCAAUGGGCGAAAGCCUGACGGAGCAACGCCGCGUGAGUGAUGAAGGUCUACGGAUCGUAAAACUCUGUUAUUAGGGAAGAACAGAUGGUAAGUAACUGUGCACAUCUUGACGGUACCUAAUCAGAAAGCCACGGCUAACUACGUG